rnacentral:rRNA from 1 species
UACGAAGGGGGCUAGCGUUGCUCGGAAUCACUGGGCGUAAAGCGCACGUAGGCGGAUUGCUAAGUCAGGGGUGAAAUCCUGGAGCUCAACUCCAGAACUGCCUUUGAUACUGGCGAUCUUGAGUCCGGGAGAGGUGAGUGGAACUGCGGGUGUAGCGGUGAAAUGCGUAGAUAUCCGGAGGAACACCGGUGGCGAAGGCGGCUUCCUGGACCGACACUGACGCUGAUGCGCGAAAGCUAGGGGAGCAAACGGG